GUGCUCACUUUCGGCAGCACAUAUACUAAAACUGGAACAAUACAGAGAAGAUUAGCAUGACCCCUGCGCAAGGAUGGCAUGCAAAUUAAUGAAGCAUUCCAUAUUUUU